AUAGUUCGAUAGCAUUUAUCAAACAAUCAAGAUGCCUUCCCCUUGUGAACCGUGCAAAGACUCCUGCAAGGACGGAUCCUGCAAAGACAACUGUUCUUGCAAGGACAAAGGCUGCAACGAUUGCUCUUCUACAGGUGGAUGCUGUUAAACUAGACAUCUGCUAACUUCCACAUGGACGCAACACGACGCCAUCGACACCGGUCGUCCGUCUGCUCUAGGGUCACCAAAGUACUGGAGGCCUGCUUUCCUGUCGCUUUCUCUAUCGUCUUCUUUAUAACUAUUGCUCUGUUCUACUGUCUAAUAUAAAAGUCCU
rnacentral:lncRNA from 1 species